UUGUAGGUGUUUUAGGGCGUUCGGUGGAUGCCUUGGCACGAUGGGCCGAAGAAGGACGUUGCAGUCUGCGAUAUGCCUCGGGGAGUUGACUAGCGAGCUGUGAUCCGAGGGUGUCCGAAUGGGGGAACCUGGCUCGAGUUGUUUCGGGUCGCCUGCCUUUUGAAUUGAUAGGGGGUGGGUGGUGACGCGGGGAAGUGAAACAUCUUAGUACCUGCUGGAAGAGAUAUUUCGUGAGUAGUGGCGAGCGAAAGCGGAGGAGUCUAAACCUUGUGUGUGUGAGAGCCGUCGGGUGUUGCAUAUGAGGGGUUGUGGGACGCAUUUUUCUACUCACCGACGUGGGUGGGCGUAGUGAUAAACCAUGCUGAUAGUUGAAGGGUCUGGGAUGGCCUGCCGUAGUGCGUGAUAGCCGUGUAGAUGAAAUUGGUGUGGCUGCGUGGGUGUGUUCCCGAGUAGCACGGGGCUCGUGGAAUCUCGUGUGAAUCUGCCAAGACCACUUGGUAAGGCUAAAUACCUGUCGUGACCGAUAGCGGAUAGUACCGUGAGGGAAUGGUGAAAAGUACCCCGGGAGGGGAGUGAAAUAGUGCCUGAAACCGGGCGCCUACAAUCCGUCAGAGCCUUUUUUGUGGGGUGAUGGCGUGCCUUUUGAAGAAUGAGCCUGCGAGUUAGUGGCAUGUGGCGAGGUUAACCCGUGUGGGGUAGCCGUAGCGAAAGCGAGUCUGAAGAGGGCGUUUGAGUUGCAUGUUCUAGACCCGAAGCGGGGUGAUCUACCCAUGACCAGGGUGAAGCGCGUGUAAGAGCGUGUGGAGGUCCGAACCCACCAGGGUUGAAAACCUGGGGGAUGAGUUGUGGGUAGGGGUGAAAGGCCAAUCAGACUCCGUGAUAGCUGGUUCUCCCCGAAAUGCAUUUAGGUGCAGCGUUGCGUGUGUCUUGUGGUGGUAGAGCGACUGGAUGGCUGAUGGCCCCGACCGGGGUACUGACGUCAGCCAAACUCCGAAUGCUGCAAGGUUGAGCGUGGCAGUGAGACUGUGGGGGAUAAGCUCCAUUGUCGAGAGGGAAAC
rnacentral:ncRNA from 1 species